UCAGGAUGAACGCUGGACGGCGUGCCUAACACAUGCAAGUCGAGCGAUUCUCUUCGGAGAAGAGCGGCGGACGGGUGAGUAACGCGUGGGUAACCUGCCUCGUACACAUAGGAUAACAUACCGAAAGGUAUGCUAAUACAGGAUAAUAUAAGAGAUUCACAUGGAUUUCUUAUCAAAGCUCCGGCGGUAUGAGAUGGACCCGCGUCUGAUUAGGCUAGUUGGUAAGGUAACGGCUUACCAAGGCGACGAUCAGUAGCCGACCUGAGAGGGUGAUCGGCCACAUUGGAACUGAGACACGGUCCAAACUCCUACGGGAGGCAGCAGUGGGGAAUAUUGCACAAUGGGCGAAAGCCUGAUGCCAGCAACGCCGCGUGAGUGAUGAAGGCCUUCGGGUCGUAAAACUCUGUCCUCAAGGAAGAUAAUGACGGUACUUGAGGAGGAAGCCCCGGCUAACUACGUGCCAGCAGCCGC
rnacentral:rRNA from 1 species